rnacentral:rRNA from 1 species
UACGAAGGGGGCGAGCGUUGUUCGGAAUUACUGGGCGUAAAGGGCGCGUAGGCGGUCCUUCAAGUCAGGCGUGAAAGCCCCGGGCUCAACCUGGGAACCGCGCUUGAGACUGGCGGACUCGAGUUCGGGAGAGGAUGGCGGAAUUCCCAGUGUAGAGGUGAAAUUCGUAGAUAUUGGGAAGAACACCGAUGGCGAAGGCAGCCAUCUGGACCGACACUGACGCUGAGGCGCGAAAGCGUGGGGAGCAAACAGG